AUUGAACGCUGGCGGCAGGCUUAACACAUGCAAGUCGAGCGGGGUGAUGGUGCUUGCACUAUCACUUAGCGGCGGACGGGUGAGUAAUGCUUAGGAAUCUGCCUAUUAGUGGGGGACAACAUCUCGAAAGGGAUGCUAAUACCGCAUACGUCCUACGGGGGAAAGCAGGGGAUCACUUGUGACCUUGCGCUAAUAGAUGAGCCUAAGUCGGAUUAGCUAGUUGGUGGGGUAAAGGCCUACCAAGGCGACGAUCUGUAGCGGGUCUGAGAGGAGGAUCCGCCACACUGGGACUGAGACACGGCCCAGACUCCUACGGGAGGCAGCAGUGGGGAAUAUUGGACAAUGGGGGGAACCCUGAUCCAGCCAUGCCGCGUGUGUGAAGAAGGCCUUAUGGUUGUAAAGCACUUUAAGCGAGGAGGAGGCUCUUUUGGUUAAUACCCAGAAUGAGUGGGCGUUACUCGCAGAAUAAGCACCGGCUAACUCUGUGCCAGCCGCCGCCGUAC
rnacentral:rRNA from 1 species